rnacentral:rRNA from 1 species
CGGAUUUACUGGGUGUAAAGGGCGUGUAGGCGGGAGUGCAAGUCAGAUGUGAAAAUUAUGGGCUCAACCCAUAACCUGCAUUUGAAACUGUACUUCUUGAGUACUGGAGAGGCAGGCGGAAUUCCGUGUGUAGCGGUGAAAUGCGUAGAUAUACGGAGGAACACCGGUGGCGAAGGCGGCCAACUGGGCUUUUACUGACGCUGAGGCUCGAAAGUGUGGGGAGCAAACAGGAUUAGAUACCCUGGUAGUCCACGCCGUAAACGAUGAGUGCUAGGUGUUAGGCCCUUUCCGGGGCUUAGUGCCGCAGCUAACGCAAUAAGCAUUCCGCCUGGGGAGUACGGCCGCAAGGCUGAAACUCAAAGGAAUUGACGGGGGCCCGCACAAGCGGUGGAGUAUGUGGUUUAAUUCGACGCAACGCGAAGAACCUUACCAGGGCUUGACAUUGAGUGAAAGGACAAGAGAUUGUCCCCUCUCUUCGGAGACACGAAAACGGGUGGUGCAUGGCUGUCGUCAGCUCGUGUCGUGAGAUGUUGGGUUAAGUCCCGCAACGAGCGCAACCCUUAUCCUUUGUUGCCAGCACGUUAUGGUGGGAACUCAAAGGAGACUGCCGCGGACAACGCGGAGGAAGGCGGGGAUGACGUCAAGUCAUCAUGCCCCUUAUGUCCUGGGCUACACACGUACUACAAUGGGAUGGACAGAGAGCAGCGAAGCCGCGAGGCCAAGCGAACCCCAUAAACCAUCUCCCAGUUCGGAUUGCAGGCUGCAACCCGCCUGCAU